AUGGGCUACGCCUACUGCAGCGGCGGGGGCGCCGGCAAGCCGCCGGCGAAGUUCGAGCCCCGCCCGUUCCUGCUGUCCGUGGUCGCCGUGGACACGUCGGAGCUGGACCUUGGCCAGAGCACGGUGGACUUGAGCGCCCUCGUGAAGGAGUCCACGGAGAAGAGCCAGCAAGGGGAGUGCGCCCGGCAGUGGCAGAUGGCGUUCCUGCUCGCCGGCAAGGCCAAGGGUGGGGAGCUCGUCGUCACGCUCGCUUUCCAGAUCAUGGAGGACGGCGGCGGCGGGCUCUACAGCCAGCCGGCCAACAAGACUGCUGCCCCUCCUUGUCCCUCGCCUUGGCCGCCAGCUUGA
rnacentral:rRNA from 1 species